rnacentral:rRNA from 1 species
UCGCUCCUACCGAUUGAGUGAUCCGGUGAAUAAUUUGGACUGCGGCUGCGCCCAGUGUCUGGGUGCUGUCAUUGAAAUUUUAAUGAAUCUUAUCACUUAGAGGAAGGAG